rnacentral:lncRNA from 1 species
UCAAAGAGUGACAGUAAUGUCUUACAUAAUACACUUCCCAGAAUAAGAAAGAAGAUGAGCAAAUUAGUCUUCUUAACCUCCAGUAAUAUUCAGGAAAGAUUGAUUUCAUGUAAAAUUUUCAGAGGCAGAAAAUGAAAACCAGUAUGAAAAAACAAUGAUAUUAAUCUUAAAAGUUUCAUAAAGCCUAUAAGAACUUCAGAAGGGUCAAAUGCAGAAGAACUCUUUUUUUUUAAGAAAAACGUUGUAUUUCUUUAUAGUAAUGUAAUUUACAUGAUGAUUAAAAAAAAAAUUUUGAGACGACAGAGGCAAAAAAAAAUAGGUAAAUGAAACCAAUUUAAUUCAGCAAGCACUUUUUGGAGUACUAGCAUGACACAGUUAUUAAGAAAUUAUUUUAGGUAGAUAGAGAAGGUAAAAUGAGUCCUUGGUAAGGCUUUUUCUUUUAAUAAAAACAGCUCCCAGAACUUUUCUUUACUAACAGAAAGUGGCUUUAAAAACCAGACCAGCAAGCAUUGUUAUGCAAAUGCAGGUGAUUAGAAAAUCAGGUACACCCAAUAAGGCGGCAACCUUCUUCUCCCUGUCACCAUGUGUGCCGGGUGUCAGGGCAGCCUCCACAUGACAUCAUCAUGGUGACCUGUAUUUACAUAUUAAAAGGCUAGGGAGGGAGGGAGGGCUAGUUUUUUCCUGGGCUACCUGAAUGACACACCUGGUCAAACCAAUCCCCUGGGCCCUAUGCAAACCAGAGACCACCUCCUCCAGCCUCCCAAUAUAAGGGACUGCUUCCUGCGUGACACAAAGGACCCUGGUGUUUCUCUAGUAUUCGGAGUCAUAUUCACUAGGGGAUCACAGGGCCUUUUCAAACAUAAGACUUAGUGGUGAGGUGAUGCUUAUAUUUAUGAGAUAAAUAAUAUAAAUGAAA